GGUGACCAGGAAGAGAGGACAGAGGGUGGGUAGAGAGAAGGACAGGGGAUAGGAGAGAAGGUGACCAGGAAGAGAGGUCAGAGGGUGGGUAGAGAGAAGGACAGGGGAUAGGAGAGAAGGUGACCAGGAAGAGAGGACAGAGGGUGGGUAGAGAGACGGACAGGAGAUAGGAGAGAAGGUGACCAGGAAGAGAGGACAGAGGGUGGGUAGAGAGAAACAGGGGAUAGGAGAGAAGGUGACCAGGAAGAGAGGUCAGAGGGUGGGUAGAGAGCAACAGGGGAUAGGAGAGAAGGUGACCAGGAAGAGAGGUCAGAGGGUGGGUAGAGAGACGGACAGGAGAUAGGAGAUAAGGUGACCAGGAAGAGAGGUCAGAGGGUGGGUAGAGAGAAACAGGGGAUAGGAGAGAAGGUGACCAGGAAGAGAGGACAGAGGGUGGGUAGAGAGAAGGACAGGGGAUAGGAGAGAAGGUGACCAGGAAGAGAGGUCAGAGGGUGGAUAGAGAGAAACAGGGGAUAGGAGAGAAGGUGACCAGGAAGAGAGGUCAGAGGGUGGGUAGAGAGACGGACAGGAGAUGGAGAGAAGGUGACCAGGAAGAGAGGUCAGAGGGUGGGUAGAGAGAAGGACAGGGGAUAGGAGAGAAGAUGACCAGGAAGAGAGGUCAGAGGGUGGGUAGAGAGAAGGACAGGGGAUAGGAGAGAAGGUGACCAGGAAGAGAGGUCAGAGGGUGGGUAGAGAGAAGGACAGGGGAUAGGAGAGAAGGUGACCAGGAAGAGAGGUCAGAGGGUGGGUAGAGAGAAGGACAUGGGAUAGGAGAGAAGGUGACCAGGAAGAGAGGUCAGAGGGUGGGUAGAGAGAAACAGGGGAUAGGAGAGAAGGUGACCAGGAAGAGAGGUCAGAGGGUGGGUAGAGAGACGGACAGGAGAUAGGAGAGAAGGUGACCAGGAAGAGAGGUCAGAGGGUGGGUAGAGAGAAACAGGGGAUAGGAGAGAAGGUGACCAGGAAGAGAGGACAGAGGGUGGGUAGAGAGAAGGACAGGGGAUAGGAGAGAAGGUGACCAGGAAGAGAGGUCAGAGGGUGGGUAGAGAGAAACAGGGGAUAGGAGAGAAGGUGACCAGGAAGAGAGGUCAGAGGGUGGGUAGAGAGACGGACAGGAGAUAGGAGAGAAGGUGACCAGGAAGAGAGGUCAGAGGGUGGGUAGAGAGAAGGACAGGGGAUAGGAGAGAAGGUGACCAGGAAGAGAGGUCAGAGGGUGGGUAGAGAGAAGGACAGGGGAUAGGAGAGAAGGUGACCAGGAAGAGAGGUCAGAGGGUGGGUAGAGAGAAGGACAGGGGAUAGGAGAGAAGGUGACCAGGAAGAGAAAUCAGAGGGUGGGUAGAGAGAUGGACAGGAGAUAGGAGAGAAGGUGACCAGGAAGAGAGGUCAGAGGGUGGGUAGAGAGAAACAGGGGAUAGGAGAGAAGGUGACCAGGAAGAGAGGACAGAGGGUGGGUAGAGAGACGGACAGGAGAUAGGAGAGAAGGUGACCAGGAAGAGAGGUCAGAGGGUGGGUAGAGAGAAACAGGGGAUAGGAGAGAAGGUGACCAGGAAGAGAGGUCAGAGGGUGGGUAGAGAGACGGACAGGAGAUAGGAGAGAAGGUGACCAGGAAGAGAGGUCAGAGGGUGGGUAGAGAGAAACAGGGGAUAGGAGAGAAGGUGACCAGGAAGAGAGGACAGAGGGUGGGUAGAGAGAAGGACAGGGGAUAGGAGAGAAGGUGACCAGGAAGAGAGGUCAGAGGGUGGGUAGAGAGAAACAGGGGAUAGGAGAGAAGGUGACCAGGAAGAGAGGACAGAGGGUGGGUAGAGAGAAGGACAGGGGAUAGGAGAGAAGGUGACCAGGAAGAGAGGACAGAGGGUGGGUAGAGAGAGAAGAUGAAAAAGGGGGAAAGGGUUGCAAACUGUUCUAGAGAGUGAAGAUAUAUGGGGCAGUGUAAAUUCACAGAGAACAUUAGCUCUCGGAACAUAUUGAACAAAUAAGUGGUCAGACAGCGGUGCAAAUGAACACACAUGAACUACAAAGGCACAUAGAAUAGCCUACAGCGUAAGUGAUUCCCGAGUCAGAAAUUGAUUUAUUUCAUUGUAAUCGUCUUUAUAUAUUUAUAACAACAUUUGUUUAGGUCUGAAGUAAUACAGAUACAAAUUAUAUUACGUAUUGUGAAAUUGUUUUGCCUCACAGACAUGGCAAUUAAAUCUUGCAUAAUGGCAAUUUAGAAUAUAAUUGUCAUAUUUCAGAAAAUAAAUAUGACGUAUGUUGGCAUACUAGUCCUACACAACAGACUGUGCUUUCAAUACUCUCAAUUCUCAAUUGCCAGGAGAUGCUGUAAAGGUCAUUUUUUGAACUGUGAAUUUCUGGAAGUCCGUUCUCUUUAGAAUAUGUCCUCCUGCUCAGAGUAAAUGCACAACAACACAGUGUUAUCUUGCCCUGACCCUUGAACCCUGAACCUGGCAUCAUCAGAGUGCAACCUGUGUGAAACAAUCUUUUCUAACUAUGUCACAACAACAACAUGUAUAAGAAGCCAAGUGUAAAGGGUGUUAUUUGGAGAGUGUGAGGACAACCCUGUGCUUCCCAAACAACCCAAUGUUCUGGAAUUUUGAGUUUUAAUAAAAGUGUCUUGGAAAUAAAUGUUAUUCCAAGACUCCAAGACAAAGGUAUUCACUUGCACAAUGGACAGAAACUGAAAGUAGCCAAUGGAGGUUGUUCUCCUGUUAGUCUAAACUAGCCUGACCCUGGCCUCUUCUUCACCUUGUAUCUGGAUAGGAAUACAAAUACUGCACAACAGGCCUGGGACCUCCACAGAGCAAGCCAGGGCUUUCCAAACCCUGGAUGUGUAUGUACUACUGAGGAUGGGCUCUAACGUAAACAAUAUCCUGUCGGACUACAAAGACCAGAGACUCAGUGGUGUUCAGGACACUACAGAACUACAGAACCCUAACAGAACCUGUUACAGUGUAGUGAUUCUUAUUUUUGCUUUUGAAAGAUCUGUCUUUCUCAUUCCUCUGUUGUUUUAUCUAUUUGAUGGUCAGCACAGGCGAGGAGAGCGAGAGAGGAGCAUCAGGUGAACACUCACACAGAGGGAACAGUGGAAGUGCGUUGUAGAUUGUAAGAUUGCAAUAUUUAUAUAUAAAUGUAUUACACAGAUGUUGAUGUAAAUAAAAUGCUUCAGAUUGCUAGUUGAUAAGAGCAGGUCACUAGCCAAUAUAGGGAUUUUGGUACAUUUUACAGUGCAAAGGGAGGUAUGUUAUACACAGUAUAUCUCCCAUUGCUGUGUGAAAGUUUUUUUGUUUAUUUUUAUGGUUCUUUAUGGUUCGGUUCAAGAUGUUGAAUCUAAGUGCUUGUAUUUGUACAGGGUAGGAAUUGGUUUGCCUCUCCAUUCGGAUAAAAGUGGUGGCAAAUCUUUCACAACAAAUCCAGAGCUCAUAGAGAGUAGAACAGAUUCCAGCGACGAGGACUGCGUAGAGACAAUUAUGUGCGACUGACCAUGUUGUGUGCAGUUAACUCGUUGACCGCAAUGAUGCAAGACUUCAAUGGAUUUCAAACUGUAACCGAGUUCAGGAACAGAUCCCCUCACAGACCCUCGAGGCGUCCACCAAGGCAAUAGACAGGGAAGCUGAAGAUGGUAAUCAAUGGGAUCCUCUUAUAUUACGCCUCAAAACAUAACAACGGAUGUAAGUAGCGACUGGGCUCGGUUCAUAAAGCGUCGGAAUAGGAAGACAUUUUGUUUUGUUGUAUGCAAUGCAAUCAAAACCUCCCAUUUUGUUUCCAUUGUAGUAAGUAAGUACUUGGUAAGUAGAUCAAGUGUUUCCCUGAGCAGUGAAGAAUGGGACUGAAAAGCAAUAUGUACUGCUGAGCCUCUGUAGUUUCUACUCAUUCUACCCUUCAUUGUUUUCUCUGAACAGAGCUUAAAGUGAAGCAAACAGACUUCCUAAUAUGGAUGCCGUACAUUGUGUUGAGUGAACCAUAGAUGUUAGUCCAUUUCCAAUUUCACUUAUUUUCCCUUUUCCAUUUAUUUUUUAUUUUUUACACAGCUUUGUUUUAAAAUGCAAGGGUUUUGUGGACCUGGACAAUAAAGAGAUCUAUGUAUAUAAAAGCCUUGAAAUGUUCCCCUUAAA